CAACAUUAAUCAUUUGGUUUAAUAAUUUACUCAUUCAAGACAUUGCGAACAGGGGUAGGUAUUGGUUUCAACAGUUACAUCUAGCUCACAGAAUGAUGCCUCUCAAAGAUCAACAGGUCACACGGAUGAUCGUCGUGCAGAGACAUGGGUCUAGGGGGAAACAACCACUAAACUUUAAAAAAAAUGGAGAUAUUCACAUUUGUGCUUUACAUCGAUCUAUCAAUGGCAUUCUGAUUUGGGUGAAUUUAGAUACGGUCUCAACUUUUUCACAGUCAUUGCACAACACCUCACACAGUUUAAAUACACAACACUUGUUUGCCCCAAACUUGAAGUUUAUAGUAGUCCAUCAGAUCCAAUGCACACUUUGUAAUACAUUCAUACAUUGACUGGAGAGUAUGCCUCCAACACUCUGUCAUUCGGUCCAAGAUAUUAAUAUUGUAAAUUUCACAUUCACACAGUACUAUGUCACCAUGACUACCAUACACAAGUCCCCUGCUGUAUUAGUUAUAUAAAACAAUGUACACCAAUAUCACAUAAAUGUUAUAUUUCCUUUUGAUAUAUUUACAAUAUCUUACAGUUUCCAACACAACCAAUAAAUAGGCAGAACUUUCACAGAGAUGGCACACAAAAGUCUGGUGUUGUGUUCUCGUCAAUCUAAUCACUGACUACAACUUGGCCUGGACAUUCACCAGCAUUACAUAAACAGACAUGAAUCCAGUCUGAACAGUGAGAGGUGUCUGAGCUGGUGAGCGCUGCUACUUUAGCAAAGACAUAUAAAACAAACAUCCUGAUGCGUGUGUCCAUGGGCCUGGCUCUGUGAUUGGUCAAGCUCUGCUGAUGUCACUUGGAGUCCGUAAUGAUGCAAAGUGGAGCAGUAGAGGGAAAACGCCUGGAGGAGAGUUGCUCCGUGACUGGACCCAAAUGCAAAAACCAACUCACAGUUCCUGAUCAAGAAUCUAACCUGGCUUAAAGUUCCCCACAGGGUUGCUCCAGCAGUAUUCCGGGGCAGGGGUCAAAGGUCACAGGGCAAUCCUCCAAAAGCCUGAGCAUGCAGAGUUAUAAAAAAU
ensembl:lncRNA